CCCUUAGAUGUCCUGGGCUGCACGCGCGCUACACUGAUGUGUCCAGUAAGCACCUAACCUCUUCCGAAAGGAACGGGUAACCUUUGCAAAGCACAUCGUGAUGGGGAUAGAUUAUUGCAAUUAGUAGUCUUGAACGAGGAAUUCCUAGUAAGCACAAGUCAUCAGCUUGUGUUGAUUACGUCCCUGCCCUUUGUACACACCGCCCGUCGCUCCUACCGAUUGAAUGUUCCGGUGAGCUCUUCGGACUGCGCGGUCUGCAGUUUCUGCGUUCCGUGCGGAAAGUUGCGCAAACCUUAACAUUUAGAGGAAGGAGAAGUCGUAACA
rnacentral:rRNA from 1 species